rnacentral:sRNA from 1 species
ACACGAGGAAGGAGGUGGUCCGAGAACAUGGUUUCACUCAGGACGCGUGAGGUGGCUGCGCGCUAGCAGCCGGCUGAUAGCCGACAGGGCUGCUGGCGAAUCCACCGCAGCCACCCGACCCGCAGACGAACCGGUCGCACGUCCGCCGGUGCGGUCCCCCCUCUGGGGUGACCACGUCUGCGGGUCGUCUGCG